rnacentral:rRNA from 1 species
GGGGGGGGGUGGGGGGGGGGGGGGGGGGGGGGGGGCGGGCGAGCGGGGGGGGGGGGUGCUCCGCGGGCGGUAGCGGCGGGCGGGUGGGUGCGCCGUGGAUAACCUACCUGUCAGACUGGGAUGGCUUCUGGCAACCGGAGCUACUACCGGAGACUAUAUUCACCCGCCGGGUUCCAGCGUGCAGGGCGCUCUGUCUAUCACUUAUCGCUGUCGCCGCGCUGCAUUAGCUAGUGGGUAAGGUAACGGCUUACCCAUGCCACGAUGCGUAGCAGACCUGAGAGGGUGAUCGGCCACACUGGAACUGAGACACGGUCCAGACUCCUACGGGAGGCAGCAGUAGGGAAUCUUCCGCAAUGGGCGAAAGCCUGACGGAGCAACGCCGCGUGAGUGAUGAAGGUCUUCGGAUCGUAAAACUCUGUUAUUAGGGAAGAACAAAUGUGUAAGUAACUAUGCACGUCGUGACGGUACCUAAUCAGAAAGCCACGGCUAACUACGUG